ACGCACGCUGGCGGCGUGCUUAACACCUGCAAGUCGAACGGAAAGGCCCUGCUUUUGUGGGGUGCUCGAGUGGCGAACGGGUGAGUAACACGUGAGUAACCUGCCCUUGACUUUGGGAUAACUUCAGGAAACUGGGGCUAAUACCGGAUAGGAGCUCCUGCUGCAUGGUGGGGGUUGGAAAGUUUCGGCGGUUGGGGAUGGACUCGCGGCUUAUCAGCUUGUUGGUGGGGUAGUGGCUUACCAAGGCUUUGACGGGUAGCCGGCCUGAGAGGGUGACCGGCCACAUUGGGACUGAGAUACGGCCCAGACUCCUACGGGAGGCAGCAGUGGGGAAUAUUGCACAAUGGGCGGGAGCCUGAUGCAGCAACGCCGCGUGCGGGAUGACGGCCUUCGGGUUGUAAACCGCUUUCGCCUGUGACGAAGCGUGAGUGACGGUAAUGGGUAAAGAAGCACCGGCUAACUACGUG
rnacentral:rRNA from 1 species